rfam:Gossypium hirsutum cultivar TM-1 chromosome 8, whole genome shotgun sequence
AAACCAUGCAUUGGGCAUUUUCUAAUUAGUUCAUUGAAAUGUUCCCAAGCUUCAUAUAAUGUUCCAUCUUUAGAUUGCUUGAACGAUGUAAUAUCAUUCCUAAGCUU